UACGUAGGUGGCGAGCGUUGUCCGGAUUUACUGGGCGUAAAGGGAGCGUAGGCGGACUUUUAAGUGAGAUGUGAAAUACCCGAGCUCAACUUGGGUGCUGCAUUUCAAACUGGAAGUCUAGAGUGCAGGAGAGGAGAAUGGAAUUCCUAGUGUAGCGGUGAAAUGCGUAGAGAUUAGGAAGAACACCAGUGGCGAAGGCGAUUCUCUGGACUGUAACUGACGCUGAGGCUCGAAAGCGUGGGGAGCAAACAGG
rnacentral:rRNA from 1 species